GUCGGGAGUCUUGCACAAUGGGGGAAACCCUGAUGCAGCGACGUCGCGUGUGGGAUGAAGUAUUUCGGUAUGUAAACCACUUUUGCGGGGGGCGAAAAAAAUGACGGUACCCCGCGAAUAAGCCCCGGCUAACUACGUGCCAGCAGCCGCGGUAAUACGUAGGGGGCGAGCGUUGCUCGGAUUGACUGGGCGUAAAGCGCGCGUAGGCGGUCCAUUAAGUGUGCGGUGAACUUCGGAGGCUCAACCUCCGUCCCGCCGCGCAAGCUGAUGGUCUUGAGAUUGGGAGGGGGAUGCGGAAUUCCUGGUGUAGCGGUGAAAUGCAUUGAUAUCAGGAGGAACACCGGCGGCGAAAGCGGCAUCCUGGCUUAUAUCUGACGCUGAGGCGCGAAAGCGUGGGUAGCAAACGGGAUUAGAAACCCUAGUAGUCC
rnacentral:rRNA from 1 species